UCAUUACCUCACACGAGCUCGGGAUAUUCCAACACACGCGGGUUUCAGGUCAUAGGUUUUCCUCAACUCUAUUCUCUAAGUCGUUUCUUUUGAGUUUUUACUGUUACGCUCCUAUUAUAUAUGCCUCGGAUACCGAAGUGUCAUCUCACCUCCGAGGCCGAGAUCAAGUGGACCUCCCGCAGCACCAUUUAUUCCGACCUGAAAACGACCCUUCCGAAGCUUAUCCAAAGUGAUAUAGCGAUUCCUACUACUGAUCUGCCGAAGCAUCUCACCUCCGAGGUCGAGAUCAAGUGGACCUCGGUUAGAAGAUCCGCCACCAAUUUGAGAUUUGUCCUGCACCUAAGGCUUAAAUUGAUUUGACGUCUCCAUGAGGCUAGUUGAUGUGAAUUAUCAACUUUACGUCAAUUCAACUCAGAGGAAACAAACUGUCCACCCACUCUACAAACGCGAUUGAUUGACGCCUAUGAGCAGACGCUUCCUACCGUCAGAUGUAUACACGCAUUGCACAUCCAACGGUUCAUACCACCUAUAAAUACCCAAGGUUUGGCAAGAGGCAAAGGUAAUGAAACUCUUAAUACACAGCACUCCAUAACAAGUUUAUAUAUUCUCCUUCCCCUUUAUUGAUCGAUUUGUAUAGCCCCUGGGUACUGUUCCGAUCACCCAAACCUGACUUGACCGUCGGAGUGUAUACGGCCACCACCACCCCCGUUGGUUCCGACCGUGUGCGCCUGAAUAUUUGUUGAUUGUGUGCAGGGAGGAAUACGUGGAGUAGCUUUCAGUUGGCCACGUGGAAGGACCAAUUUUCGAGGUCAACAGAUUGGUGCUGUCUGUGGGAACCACUCCCCAUUCGAAGUUUUGCGUUCUCCAUCGGAGAAGAUACCGGAAAAUCGGCGACUAACCCUGAAAAGGGGGCAUUCUUGAAAAAGAACAAAGUCGAGUUACAAUCCAAGUUCUUACUACCCUUGAAAAAAGAGGUAGGAUGAGCUACAGCCAUGAAGACCACAAUCCCAUGAGAGAGGCCUCUGAAGAAGAGGUACUCCAUAACAAUGUUACUCAUCAGAGACCGCAUCAUCGGCGUCGCCGAGGCAGAAGAACAGCCAUACUCACUGAAGGAAUGACUUAGAUAGCUGCGGGUAUGAGAGACAUAGCAGCUCAGAAUAUGGCGAUGCAGGAACUCUUCAUGCAAGCCCAGGGACGCCAGAGCUAUAAAAGGCCCCAAGGAUCUUAUCAGGUGCAGGAAAUCCCUUUAUCUCACUCUCGGGGCCACAUGAGCCGGCACACAGAAUGCCCCCUCGAAAGAGAGAUGAACGCCGAAGCAACAUCUUAUGUGCAAGGGAGUCAUCCAACAGAACCACCCUUGGGGGACAACUUUCCUCAAGAACACGACGACCAAAGGUCAGUAAGCGUCUUCGACUGGAUAGGGGAGGAUCCUAGCAAUACGAUUCGCCCAGCAAGAGGAUCAGUUCGUCCGGAUAGCAAACAAGAGCAUGUUCCCCCUCCUCCUCCUAGAAAUAGGAGGGAGAGGAGAAACCUAGUCGAUUGGGGGAGUCGAGGAGAAGCACCUCCACCACCCCAGGACAUCCAAGAUGAUGAAGGGUCAGAGGGGCCCUGUCGAUCUUAUGAGAUUGACGACGAUGACGAUAACCUCCCUUUCUCAAGGGAGAUUCGAAGCUUCCCAAUGCCAGCUAACUUCAUGCCCCCUAAGAUCCCUAAGUAUGAGGGAAAGGGGGAUCCAGAGAAGCACCUCACAAAGUAUAUGACACAAAUGAGCCUUAGGGGAGCCUCGUCUGCUCUAAAAUGCAGAGCCUUCCAUUUAACACUAGGCGGAGCCGUCGAGGUAUGGUACAACAGGCUUCCUCCCCUAAGCAUCAGAAGUUGGCCAGACUUGAAGAAAGCAUUUUUGAACCAGUACCUCUCACGCAGGGAAGGAGAGGUGCCAAUUCAACGCCUACAAGACAUGAGGCAGGCCCCUGGAGAGACGCUAAAAAGCUAUCUCGCCAGGUUUACAGAUGAAAUUACUUACUGUGAACAGGUCACUGACAGGGAAGCCUUUUCAGCCCUGAAAGGUGGGCUCAACAUGAACACUUUGUUUUGGAGGGACGUGCGCAGCAAGAAUCCCUCCACAUACGAUGAGCUGGUAGAAAUGAUGAGAGUGGAAAUUGUUAGUGAAAAAAUGAUUGAUCAUCGCAACCGUGCCGCGCAGGGACUCUCUUCUCCUUAGAGGUAGGUAGGUCGAGGCCCCGCAACACACCUUGUUACUCAGCAAUGGACCCAAGCAGGGCAUACCAUAGCUCUCACAUCCGGACAGGCCCUAGCUUCCACUAUAUUGAAUGCAGUGCCGGUGUUGGCAUAUGAUAAUGCCCCUGUUGAGGUGGGACCAUCUAGAAGAACUGAUAACAAUAAGAAGAAGAAAAAGAGGCCAAACAGACCCUUGGCAGGAGCAAGGUUUUGUACAUUCCAUCAACUAUACGGACAUGACACCAGUGAGUGUCGUGAUGCCAAUCGACGCCCUGAUGGAAGCAACCUUCACACUUCCAGUAGAAACGAACACCCUCGCAGAUCCACCUCCCCGAGGAGGGGAGGGAGAGGUCACCAGGAACAAUCUCCUCGUAGAAGAGAAUUGAGGAACCGAGGCCAAUCCAGGCAGGGGAACCAAGCCCAAUUUUUGGGAGGCCAGGUCAUCAGGGAAAUCGAUACCAUCAUUGGGGGACCCCACGUCGGUGGCAACACCAGGAAUGCCCAGAGAAAUUACACAAGAGAAGCUAAGGAUCCCCCGAUGAUCACUUACAUUGUUGACGAAUCGAAAUCAGCAAACAAGAUGGCCCCGAUCAUCUUCUCUCAGGAAGACUCAGAGGGAGUUCACCACCCCAUUGCAAUGCUUUGGUUGUCAGAGUCGUAGUAGCUAGAAACAGAUUAAAACGCAUGCUCGUUGACAAUGGCAGUUCCAUGAACAUAUUGUUUGGCUCCACUUUUGACAAAAUACAAAUUGAACAUGGGUUGAUCCCCAUGACCGACCCACUGUUACGAUUCACAGGGGACAGCAUCAUCCCACGAGGACGGAGUACCCUGCCUGUGGAAAUGGGUUCGGUACCCCUAGUCGCCCAGCAUUUCAUGGAAUUUCUGUUGGUAGAUCAUAGAUCGGCUUAUCAUGGAGUAUUGGGCAGGCCCGCUCUGAAAGAUCUUUGGGCUGUGACGUCCAUUCACUAUUUGUACAUGAAAUUUCCAACCGAACAUGGGAUUGCAACCGUCAGGGGCGAUCAGAUGGGCUCCAGGGCAUGCUACCUAAACUCGCUGCGCAAAUCCGAGCCCCAAACUGUUAAUGUAAUCCUAGCCGAGGUACCCGCUGAAGUCGGUACGGACGUGGAAAUGCUCGACGCCCCUGAACAAGGGCAUACCUCUGAACAAGAGGGAGACGUCGACAUGGAAGAGGCCCCUGAACAAGGACACCCUCUUGAUGAGUUAGACCCCCGAAUAAUCGAUUAUGAACCAAAUGCGACCCCCAUGGAAGAAUUGGAAACUUUUCCCAUCAACCCGGAAGACCCCAAUCAAGUCUUGCGUAUAGGGAAGUCAUUAUCACCUGAAGCAAAAACUGAGAUGAUACGUUUCCUGAAAGGAAACCUGGAUGUCUUCGCAUGGAAACAUGAAGAUAUGGUGGGAAUAGAUCCUAGGAUCAGUUGCCAUCACCUUAACAUCAACCCCUCCUAUGCUCCCCAUAGACAGAAGAGGCGCGCCCUGAACCCGAAACGGUACGAGGCACUGAAAGACGAAGUAAGCAAACUUAGCCGAAAUGGUUUCAUCAGAGAGGCCAUAUAUUCGAGGUGGAUAUCCAACUCGGUUCUGGUGAAAAAGUCCAGCGGGAAGUGGAGGGUAUGUGUGGACUUCACAAACCUAAAUAAGGCGUGCCCCAAAGACAGCUUCCCACUUCUGAGAAUUGAUCAACUUGUGGACUCUACUGCUGGGCAUGAACUACUGAGUUUCAUGGAUGCAUACUCAAGGUACAACCAGAUACCCAUGUUCCGACCUGAUGAGGAAGCUACAUCAUUCAUUACGGACAGGGGCCUGUAUUGCUACAAAGUUAUGCCCUUCGGAUUGAAAAAUGUCGGGGCCACAUACCAGAGGUUAGUCAACAUGAUGUUUACCGAACUCAUUGGCAAAACCAUGGAGGUCUACGUAGACGACAUGUUGGUCAAAAGCCUCCAGGCAACCGAACACGUGAGCCACAUUGACCAAACCUUCCAGAUACUCAGAAAGUAUAAUAUGAAAUUGAAUCCCCUCAAGUGCACUUUUGGAGUGGCAUCAGGCCAGUUCUUGGGAUAUAUUGUAAAUUAGAGAGGAAUUGAGGCAAAUCCGAUAAAGGUAACGGCCUUACUAGAAAUGAGGUCACCUCAGAAAUCGAAGGAGGUCCAAAGUCUCAAUGGUCGGAUAGCCGCACUUAGCCGCUUCAUCUCCAGAGCCACUGAUAAAAGCUUCCCUUUCUUCAAUGUAUUGAAGCAAGGAAAGAAAUUUCAAUGGACUUCAGAGUGCGAAGAAUCCUUCGAGGCUCUGAAGAAGCACCUCGGGGAAGCACCCCUCUUGUCGAAACCUCAACCGGAUGAAUCUCUAUUACUGUAUCUCACAGUUUCGGACGUGGCAGUUAGCGCAGUCUUAAUCAGGGAAGAAAAUGAGCGUCAAUUGCCAGUGUACUACAUCAGCAAAGCACUUCUCCCAGCUGAAACACGCUACCCAGACAUGGAAAAAUUGGCACUCGCACUUAUCACAACCUCAAGAAAGCUGAGGCCAUAUUUUCAAGCCCACUCAAUAGAAGUUCUCACCAAUUUUCCUUUAAAGCAGGUAAUGCAGAAAACAGACGCGUCGGGACGCCUGCUGAAAUGAGCCAUUGAGCUUAGCGAGUUCGAUCUAACGUUCCGACCUAGACACGUCAUCAAGGGCCAGGCCCUUGCUGAUUUUAUGGUUAAGUUUACCAAAGCCCCAGAAGUGGAGGCUAUAAUAGAACCAGCCGAGUCCCCCACAUGGAAAUUAUUCAUAGAUGGGUCCUCAGGAGAGACUGGCGCGGGGGCAGGGAUCGUGUUGGAGAGCCCGGAAGGCCAUGUGCUAAAUUGUGCGGUAAGGUUCGGCUUCAAAGCCUUGAACAACGCAGCCGAAUACGAGGCCCUUCUGGCAGGUCUAAGGCUCGCUAAGGAAAUGCGGGUCAGGAAGCUCCUAGCAAGCAGUGACUCUCGGCUCAUAGUAAAUCAGGUAAAUGGGAAUUUCACAGCCAAAGAUGGUAAUAUGCUUGCGUACUUGAAGUUGGUUCUGAACAUAAUUCCCCAUUUUGAAAGGUUCGAACUGACUCAAGUCCCCCGUCUAGAAAAUGCACAUGCAGAUGCCCUCUCAAAAUUAGCCAGCAGUAUGGACUCAGAGCUACUAAACAUCGUCCCCAUCGAGCACUUAUCAAAGCCUUCCACCUCCGAAGGCGAAGAGGUACUGUGGAUAGAAGGCACCCCAUUAUGGAUGCAGCCCAUAAUCGCGUACCUGAAGGAACAAAUACUGCCUGCUUCUAGAGGCGAAGCGAGGAAAUUAAGGAGAAGGGCUGCACACUUCGUCCUGCAGGAAGACACCCUUUACAAGAGAGGCUUCGCUUCGCCCCUUCUUCGAUGUGUAGGCGGCGAAGAGGCCACAUACAUACUCAGAGAAAUACAUGAAGGAAUCUAUGGAAAUCACUCCGGAGGAACGGCUCUGGCACACAAGGUUCUCCGUCAAGGCUACUUUCGGCCGACCCUGAAAAGAGAUGCUUGCCAAUUUGUCCAGAAAUGUGACAAGUGCCAGCGAUUCUCGAACGUACAAAGACAGCCUGCUCAGAGCCUCUCUGUAGUAACCAGCCCUUGGCCAUUCGCCAAGUGGGGCAUCGACUUCAUUGGUCCACUCCCAAAAGGGAGAGGAAGCGCAACUUUCGCCAUUGUCGCCAUUGACUACUUCACUAAGUGGGUCGAGGCAGAACCCCUUGCUCGAAUUAUCGAGGCUAAUACUACCAAGUUCGUUUGGAAAAACAUCAUUUGUAGAUUCGGCAUCCCCCACUCCAUAGUCUCUGAUAACGGGCGGCAGUUCGACAAUAGGAAGAUGCGAGACUUAUGUGACGAAUUGGGCAUAAAGAAGGACUUCUCGACACCUCAUCACCCCCAGGCGAAUGGGCAAGUUGAAGCAGUAAACAAGACUAUCAAGUACACCCUGAAAAGGAAAUUGGAUACCUCAAAGGGGGCCUGGGUUGACGAACUCCCCCACGUCCUCUGGGCUAUCAGGACGACUUGCCAGACUGCAACCGGUGAAACCCCAUUUUCCAUGACCUACGGAGCCGAGGCAAUGAGUCCGGUCGAAAUUGGGGUCCCAUCACAUCGACGGAUAUAUUUCAAUGAGAUCAGCAAUGACAAGGCCCGAAUAAGCAAACUACACCUCCUUGAGGAAAAGAGAGAUACCUCCCAAAUGACCCUGGCAAAAUAUCAUCGAAAGAUGACCCGCUUUUAUAACUCCAAGGUCAGAAACAGAACUCUCCGCUUGGGCGACCUCGUCUUCAGAAGAGUUUUCCAAUCUUCAAAACUAACCGGGUCAGGAGUUUUCAACCCGAACUAGGAAGGCCCUUACCGCAUCCGAUGGGAAUCCCGACCUGGUACCUUCGAAAUCGAAGAUAUGUCAGGAAGGGCGCUGCCUCAUAAGUGAAACAUCGAACACUUUAGGAAGUACUACCAGUGAUGAGACUGUGAUCCGAUCCGAUCUCAAUAUAUUGUAACGAAUCAAUUGUUCCGAUCUGAUCUUAGUUGUAAAAUUCCCUAAGUGAUGGAAUCGCCUUUGUAAAGGGUGGUGUAAUUUAUCUUAGUAAUGAAUUUUCAGGUCCAAGCCACAUCAGUUAGUGAAUAGUUUCCUCAGUACUUCAGAAGGUUCAUUUAAGCGAUCCGAUCGUCAAUUAUGAGCUGAUUAACAUCAAGCGGCUCUUUAUGUUUCCCUAAUUGGCCUGAUCUCAGAUUAUUAAUAAGUUGGCAUUAAGAAUCGCUUCAUACUCGCUUAAGUGUUUAAACUUAUGUUAACUUAAGCGGUCCGAUCCAUAGUUAUUAACUGGUCAUUGUCGCAAGGCAAUUAGUCUAACGUUUGUCGUUCAUACAAGUGUAAACAAAGAAAAAAUAAAGAAGCAGAAGCCCAAAUACAUAACAAAAAUUUCUCAUUUUAUUUCAUAAAUUUAAGUACAUUGGGGGUCGAAGCCAUUACAAGAUAACCCUAGUCUGUUGGAGGGACUUCAGCACUGGCCGCCUCCUGGGCCUCCGGAGCCUCCUCGACAACUUUAUUAGGCCGACCUCCAGUUGGCCCCCCAAACUCUGCCUCCGAUGGAGAGAUGUCCAGAGUGGGAUGCACCUCCUUCAGUCGACCCAGUAAGCUUUAGACGCACCAUGAGGCCCAGAAGUUGGCGAAGUCGUCAUACAGGGGAUGGUCUUCGAAGUGGUCAAUAAAGUUCUGGACUGCCACCUCCCCCGCAGACUUCAAUUCAUCCUUCAAGGAGGCAAUCUCCUCUAACUGGGCCUCUGUCUACUGCCUCAACUCUGCCUUUUCUCUAUUGGAGGCCUCCAGAGCAUCGGUGGUGAGCUUGUGGUGCUCAUUGGCGUGAUUAAGUCGCCAAGUCACAGCAGCCACUUGGCAUUCCACCUCAUAGAGCUCUUUCUUCAGUCGCUCCACCUCUGCUUGUGCAACAGUAAGUUGGGCCUCAGCAGCUUUCUUCCCUUCCUCUGCCUUUGUGGCUUUGGCCUGGGCCGCCUGUACAGCGUCCCCAUAAUGCAUCGCCUCCUCGAGGCACUUGGCGAGGUCCUCCCUCUUAGAGUGCAGAUCCUUCACCAAGCCCUCAAGCUGGAUGCUUGUGCUUAGGGCCCGAGCCACACAGGCACUGUUCACAGCCACCAUAUCUUCAGCCGUGCAGGAAGCGGUGUGGUCCCUCCACUCUUCUGUCCAAUAUUUAUUGUGGACCACCGCCACCGCAGCUAUUUCGGGAGGAAGAGCCUCCAACACCUCCCUUAUGGGCUCCUCGGGAUUGGUGCCCAGGAAAUCAACCUCCUUAGAGGGACGGGGCCUUUUUCUCCUCUGCUACCCCGGAGCUUGAUCAAUGGGCACUGCAGUAAGGGGUGCUGUGUCCGGGGCAGCGACAAGCUCAGUUGGAGCGAGGCUUCUCUCCGGGUGGGCCACCCCCGUGGGAAUGGUGGUCUGCCUCAAAACUGGGGGUGGCCUCACCACAGUUGGGCGUCUGGGAGGGGCGGCACUCUUCUUGCCCUUCCUUUAGAGGUCAGCUUCUGGGUCCUCCUAAACUUCCUCCUCCGUCGGAGGCUGGAGCCUCUUACUGGCCUCCACCAACUCCUCCAUUUGCUUUUUAUACGAGGAGGAAGAGGCCUUCAGUGCCCGUGCCUCAGCCAUCAUUUUCUGGAUGGUCUUGAAGUCGGGGCGCACUGGCAGCUUCUUGUUAAAGUUAUCUGCAAAGAAUCAAAUAAGGAAUUAGUACAAGUCUAGGGAGUUCGGAAUAAAAAGUAAGGACUUCGGUCCUAUUACCUUGAGACGCCAUUAAAUCGUGGGUAAUAAAAUGGAUGUUCUUCCGGAUCAGCCUGUGGUAGGACCUCUUCUUCUGAGGUAGCUGAUAAAUGACAUAGAUGGUGUCAAAGUUCUCCGUUGAUAGCUCGCACCGAGGAAGAGAACCUACAAAGGAAACAUAACUGUUAGACACAAGUCGAACCGAAGAGAAAUAAAAGAAACAACUACUAUACUCACUAAGUGUUGAAAACUUCGUUGGAACUGUAAGAGGCGCCAGGGGGUCCCCCUCCAUCGUGUCCCAUCGCCCUACUGCCCAGCACCAUGAGCUCUUCCAUUCUUUAAUGGAGCUCGGCAGAUCGACCACGAAUGGAGUGUAGGAACCCCAUGACGUAAGGUAGUACCAACCCCGGGUCUUAUCCCCCCCGGCAGUAACCUUGGGAAUAUAGAGGGUCUGGAAAAUGGAAAGGGGCAUCUCCACCCCUAAUGACGCCUCUUUUCACAACAUCCAGGAGCCCACCAUCUGGCUCCAGGAGUUCGGAUUGAGCUGCAUCGGGGCUAGCCCAUAGGACCUAAGCACCAACCUAAAGAAUGGAUGGAUAGGCAGCCUAAGUCCAGCCCUAAGGAUCGCCUCACUAAUGGCCACACAGCCCGACCUUGGGUAACAUGCUCUCUCUUCUGGCCCGGGGAGGAUUAAGUCUACGUUGUCAUGGAUCCUAUACUCUGUCCUAAGUCUACCCAGGUCGGCCUCCCUUAAUUUUGAUGGGUAGUUCGACGCCCCCAAUGCACAGAGGUAUCUGGUGGGCUAUCUGGUCAUUUUCAUAUGUUCUCUCUCCCCCCCUCCAUUAUUGCCCCAGCUAUUUCUGAGGAGGUCACCACAAUGGGCUCGUCCACCCUCACUAUUUCUAAGCCCCUCCCCGAACCAGAACUCCCAUCCGAGGCCAUUCUUUAAAAAUUUAAAAGCCUAAAUAGGUGCUGAAACUUACGGGUUUGGAGGUUUUCCUAGCCAGAAAUGGUGUAAGGUCGCCAGAAGCCUAGUUUUUCUCGCCGGAAGUCUAGUUUUUUCUCACCGAAAUUGCUUGCAAAACGGCUAAAAUCGCCAAAAAUUUGAGAGCAAAGUAUAAUCUUAGUUUUGCAAGGGUAGAAAGUCUGAGAAAGCCCCAGAGUCCUCCUUUUAUAGAAAAAACAAGUCCGAUCUCCACCGUUGAAUUCAAAUGCGAUCAAUCUAAGUCGUUCAUCGCAUCCUCAAUCUAGGCCAUUGAAAUGAAACGCCAGAUUUGAUCUACGCCCAAGAUGUCGCUGUGACUUUCACGCUAACUUGAAACGCGUUCCCUCGGUUAGUAGCCGCAGCAGCCUUUUAGGAGAAUGGGCAUGGCACCCAACUGUCACCUUGAAAACAAGCAACAGUUGUCAAAUCAUUUGACAUUUGGGUCACCUCGGAUUGAGCUCCUCCUCCAACUUUACAAAGCUUGGGCGCACCUGACGCGAAGGCCCUAUUGGGUCAUCGCCUCGGACGCUGCGUUCCCUCCCAUGCUUUACAAAGUUUUAGCCAUCUCCCCACACGUCGACCUUUUGGGUCAGCGAACCGGUGGCAGAUGAGCUCCUCCUCCAACUUUACAAAGCUUGGACGCACCUGACGCGAAGGCCCUAUUGGGUCAUCGCCUCGGACGCUGCGUUCCCUCCCAUGCUUUACAAUCUUCAGUCAUCUCCCCACGCGUCGACCUUUUGGGUCAGCGCACCGAUGGCAGAUGAGCUCCUCCUCCAACUUUACAAAGCUUAGACGCACCUGACGCGAAGGCCCUUUUGGGACAUCACCUCGGACGCUGCGUUCCCUCCCAUGCUUUACAAAGUUUCAACUCUCCCAAAGCGUUGGCCUGUGGGGGUUAGCACACCAUAUUUGCGAAGCUUCGGUGCACCUUACGCGACGUCCCAUGCUGCUUGAUCGCCUCGAAUGUUACGCACAAUAACGAAGCUUUGGCACAUCUGCUUAUUAUCAUAACCUCGAUUGCUGCAACGGAUCAACCCCUGAAACUCCCAUGACUUGCGAUCCGGUCAGGAAAGCAAGUCCACGCAUGAUAUAAAUAUUCAUCCCCGAACUUGGGGGACCACUGUUAUGCUCCGAUUAUAUACGCCUCGGAUACCGAAGUGUCAUCUCACCUCCGAGGCCGAGAUCAAGUGGACCCCCCGCAGCACCAUUUAUUCUGACCUGAAAACGAUCCUUCCGAAACUUCUCCGAAGUGAUAUAGCGAUUCCUACUACUGAUUUGCCGAAGUAUCUCACCUCCGAGGUCGAGAUCAAGUGGACCCCGGUUUGAGAUUUGUCCUGCACCUAAGGCUUAAAUUGAUUUGACGUCUCCAUGAGGCUAGUUGAUGUGACUUAUCAACUUUACGUCAAUUCAACUCAGAGGAAACAAACUGUCCGCCCACUCUACAAACACAGCUGAUUGACGCCUAUGAGCAGACGCUUCAUACCGUCAGAUGUAUACACACGUUCCACAUCCAACGGUUCAUACCACCUAUAAAUACCCAAGGUUUGGCAAGAGGCAAAUGUAAUGAAACUCUUAAUACACAGCACUCCAUAACAAGUUUAUAUAUUCUCCUCCCCCUUUAUUGAUCGAUUUGUAUAGCCCCUGGGUACUAUUUCGAUCACCCAAACCUGACUUGACCGUCGGAGUGUAUACGGCCGCCACCACCCCCGUUGGUUCCGGCCGUGUGCGCCUGAAUAUUUGUUGAUUGUGUACAGGGAGGAAUACGUGGAGUAGCUUUCAGUUGGCCACGUGGAAGGACCAAUUUCCGAGGUCGACAUUUACUAUGAAAAGUUUCAUCUAUUGGGGUAAAUUUUUCUGUGACUUGUUCACUUGAUUUACCUAUAAUUGUUCAUUCAUCCCCAAUUUUUUUCUUUCAGUAAAAUGUCGGUUCUAUCUUUCAUAUCACUAAUUGUGGUUAUCUUUGUUUAAUAGGUAUGUGUUUGGAAACUAUCAUUAAUUUUUGUUGCCUUCUAUGUACAAUUUGAACCCAUUUGUUUGUGGUUAGGUUUUUUAUUUGGAAUAACAACUGAGAUGAUUAGUUGUGUGAAUAGAUAUAUUCCCUAGCAUUAUUAUGUUGUUUAAACAUUAACCUCACUGUAUCGUAUUAUGUUGAAUUUCAUCCUCAUUGAAUUCUAUUCUAAAUGGCUAAGUUUCCCUUCGUGCUUUGGGUUAAGUUGGGUAGGUGAUCGAAUUGUGAGGAAUUAUCCCUUUUAAGUUGCUGUAAUUUAUUGCAAUGCUGUGCCCUUUUGUUUAAGGCAAAAUUUUUACAAUCAUAGAUGUGUUUAUAUAUAAUCUUUUCAACCUUUGGAGUCAGAUGAGUACGAAAAUUAGCAAUGUACAGACAAUCAAAGAUUCCUUUGCUCAAUUUAGUUUUGAAGUUUAGGUUUAAAUUCUCUGCUCUCACUCAUUAGUCAAAACCAGAGCAUUCUGAUCUUGUCUAUUAGUUGUCAUCACGUGUGGAACAGAAUAAUGUAGGUGACAAUUCAACAAAUGUGUUAUAUGUAUUGGAUAUAAAAUUUCAGAGUUACCGAGAAAGAUCCUUUUUGUUGGUUUGUAACACUUCUUUGGCUAUUUUGUUUUGGCUCAGUUAAGGGGAAGGAGACAUAAGUAAGGUUGUAAAAUUUAAUUCAAUUUUUCACUAUCCAUAUGCCAUCUUUUCAACUUCAUCAUCAAAGUUCAUAUUGAAUGUCAUCUCUGCAGCUCUUCUAUCCCAAUAAUAGAUUCUGUAGGAUUUCGUUUUCUUUUUCAACUCUUAUUGAUCAUUAAUUCUAAAUGUGAAAAAUAUUGCAAGAAGAAAAAUGUUAAUAAAUUAUAACUGUUUAGGCCAAUCAAAUGGUCUUACUGGCAACUAAUUGCGAGGUACUACUAGAGAGGCUAAAAGAAUGAAAAUAAAAGAAGAUCUAAUGUAUAUUAUAAAAGAACCAAAUUUUAUAUCAAUUAAUGUUGCCCGAACUUGGUACAAGGAAGAUCCUUUCAUUUUUUCAACACAACCCAUUCAAGUGUUCUAUAUGGAUGGCUUGAAACAAGGAGCCAACUGGAAAGUUGUACAAAAGGCCACUCCUCGUCAUAUAUGGGAUUUAGUUGAGAGCGCUGAUGAGUGUAAUAAUGAUGAUGAAGAAAUUGACAAUUCUAGUAUUGUUCAACAAGAUAGCUCAUCUACGGAUGUUCGACUUUUGAUUGAAGAUGAUGAUUUGGACAGUAGACUCUAUGUUUGUAUUGAUGUUCCACUUGAACAAGUAGAUGAGGAAAACAUCGAUGUAUUUGACAUGGAAGAGGACUUCCAGUUUGAAGUUGAUGACAUGGAUGAUGAGAAAGAUUUCGAAAUAUCUGAUACGGAGUUAGAAUUCAUUUUCGAUGGUGAUAGCGAUUGAUGUCACUGCCAUAUAUUAAUCCAUAGUUUCUUUUCAUGAUCAUUAUAAGACUCCUUGUUAUGCAUUAUGAUAUUUUCCGUCUUCACUAUUAUUUUACAUAUUUUGUAGGUGUUAAGGCAAAUUUGUUGUCAAACAACCUCCUCGGGCUAUGAUGUUACUCGGUUUAAUUUUUCAGUCGGCCUAGUCAAAUGACUGAACCGGAAUCCAACACCACAUUCGAGACAAUACGACCCAAAGGUUAAUUGGGCCACUCGAAGCAACCUAAAUACUUUAGUGUUGCUCGUGGCCCAAUCCACUCCCUUGGAUGGCCUUUAAUUGAGAGAAAAGCUUGUGAGACCACUUAACUAUCUUUUGGGCCUUUAACCUAACCCAUUAGUUAACCUACUUAAACUUACCUUAUUUGGGCUAUUGGUAAAAAGGUUAAAUUGGCUUCUUUUCUCUCUAAGUGAGAGAUGUCUGACCCCUCUCUCUCUCGGCCAUUCUGUGAUUUCUCUUCUACUCUUCUGCCUCUUUGUGGAUACCAUCUUAGUGGUGAUGUUAAAUGAGAUUUCUUCUACCUUUGUGAUCUCAAUAGUGGAAUAUCUCAUUGAAAAUCGGAAGUGGAACUUGGUAUUGUCUUAGUUCGUAGUUGUCGGCUUUGUGGUGUUGAAAGUACCCGUAUUAACUUACCUGGGUUUUCUUUGGUGAUCAAUACUAUCACCUUACAUCUGGUAUCAGAGCUUAGGACUUCAAUUUCUGUCAAAAGGGUUCAAAAUCGAGAGAAAUAGGCCCUAAUCUCCAAAUUGAACGAACCCAAUUCUUCCAAUUACUCCCAAACCCGACCUUAUUUGGACAAACGGAGCCCAGAUCGAUAACUAGCAGGUCGAGGCACCCCCUGUGAGAUGGCUCAUGGUGGUGACGACGGCGGCGUGCGGGAGGCCCUGCAACGUAGUUUUUUCUGUCAUUUCGUUUAUUUCAUUUUCCUGAACACUUUGAUGUGUUUGGUUUAGUGUUUCAGGUUGAGUAGGAAAAGUUGGAUGAUUUUGCCCCUAACUUCAAUCUGCAUUUGUUGCUGAUCAGAAUUGUUAUAUUUGCUGAAUCUUUAGGGCGAAUAGUGGUGGCCCUAAAGUAGCAAAUUCACAUCUCUCCACAUUACGAACUCGGAUAGGUCCGCUCUAGUAAAUUGGCUGAAACUUUUACAUUUUUGCACUAGUAGAUCAUCGUGUGGGGUGAUCAUUAGAUUUGGGGGUUGUCAUUGCUUGAAAACCAUUGCUUGUGUUGAAAAUUAGGGUUACGUGCUCUUAAUUGUUUGAUUGAGUAAAUCAGUAUUUAAUUCUUAGUGAUAUAAUUGUCGUGAAACUGAUUAUUGGUUAGACGUAAUUCUCUGUUGCAUUGUUAUUUCUGCUACUUAUUAAUUUCGUUAGAAUUACAAUAACUUUACCCGUUUCGAACAUUCCCUUGAUCUAAGACUGUGAGUCUUACGAAACCCUGGGAAUCUAGAACGGCGUAUAUUGUUUGUGACUCUAGGACUACUUUGUGUUGUUUGAUUGUGUUUUGUGCAUUCUUUAACUGUUGUGUGAAGAUGACAACUCACAACUUUGAUUUGAAGAUUUUUAACGGAAAGGGUGACUUUUCUAUUUGACAACAAAAAAUGAAGGGUAUUUUAGUUCAACAAAAGGUUUCAAAGGCUAUUGAAGGUAAUUUUUCAACUGAUUUUUCAAAAGAACAAAGAGAAGAAGCCGAUGAGCUUGCUUACACCUCAAUCAUUUUAUAUUUGUCUGACGCUGUUUUAAGAAAGGUGGAUAAACUGAAAACCACUAAAGAACUUUGGAAAAAAUUAGAAAACUUAUAUUUGCUUAAGUCUACACCGAAUAUACUCUACUUGCUCGAACAUUUUUUCAAUUUUAAAAUGGAUCCUUCAAAGGAUCUCGAUGAUAAUUUAGAUGUGUUUAACAAGUUGGUACAGGGUAUAGUUAAUUGUGAUGAGGCUGUGUUCGAAACUUAUAAGGCUAUAAUUUUGCUCAAUGUGAUCCCUGAUUCUUAUAAGAAAGUUAAGAACACCAUUAAGUAUAGUAGAGAUACGUUAACACUUGAAAUUGUCAUAGACUCCCUUAGGAACAAAGAAAUGGAAAUUAGGGCUGAAAAACACGAUAAGAGGAGCGGUGAGUUACAUAUGAUGUGGGGUAGAACUUAAUUUAGGCAAAAUAGUGAUGAUGGAUAUCAAAGUGGUGGCGAGUUAAGUGGCAGUGGAUGGAAAAAGAAGGGCAAGGGUAGAUCUAGAUCAAAAUCUAGGACGAAGGCCAGAAAAUGUUAUGGCUGUGGAAACACAGGGCAUUUUAUAAAAAAUUGUCAUAAAGAAAAGGGCAAGUUAAAGAUUAAGGAAAGAGAUGAGGUAAAUGUGUUAUCCUCUACAUUUGAGAUAGAUAACGAUGAGGUCUAUAUGCUUACAAGUUCAGUUGCAUACGCUGUUGAAUUGAAUCUAACUGCUAAUUCCCGUAUGCAUGAGUGGAUACUUGAUUCUGGUGCAUUGUUCCACGUGACGUCUGAAAAGAAUUGGUUUUAUAAUUUGUAUGAAUCUAACGUUGGGCAUGUUGUGCUGUGUGAUAACUUUGCCUAUACUAUUGCUGGAAUUGGUAACAUAAACGUAAAAUUUGACACGGAUUUUGUGUACGCGUUAAAAGAUGUUAGAUAUAUUCCUAAAUUGUCUAGGAAUUUGAUUUCCGUAGGGAGACUUGAAAAGGAUGACUUCACUAGUAAAAUUGGAAAUAGUAUGCUAAAAAUGAUUAAGGGUGCUUUAGUUUCCAUUAAGGGAACUAAGAAAAACGACAUUAAUAUUACUACUGGGAAAGUGAUUAGAGGUUUGAACUCCUCUAACUCUUCUGUCAAGAUUGAUCACACACACACACAUGAAAUAAUAGACUUACACACGUAGGCAUUAAGGGAUUUAAGUUACUUAAUGAAAAAGGUGCAUUUAGUGACUGUUUGUCAGAUUUGUCAUUUUGUGAUCACUGUGUGCUUAGUAAGCAUCAUAAACUUUGUUCUCCACGAGUGUUCAUAAAGCUAAAGGCAUGCUUGAAUAUGUGUAUUCUGAUCUGUGGGAUACUGCUAGUAAUCCCACAUUGGGUGGAAAUAGGUAUUUCCUGUCUAUUAUCGAUGACUAUAUUAGGAAAGUGUGGGUCUAUAUGUUGAAAGAUAAAUCCGAGACUUUUCAUAAUUUUAAUAACUGGAAGAGACAAGUGGAAAACCAAACUAGUAAGAAAAUCAAAAUUUUAAGGAUAGAUAACGGCCUAGAAUUCUGCAAUACGGAAUUUGAUAGUAUGUGUAAAGAAAAUGACAUAACUAGACACAAGACUAUUCCUUACACUCCCCAGCAAAACGGGGUAGUGAAAAGGAUGAAUAGGAUUAUACUUGAUAAAGUACGUUGCAUGAUGUUAAGUUCUAGUGUCCCUAAGUUGUUUUGGGGUGAGGCUGUUAUGAUUGCCUAUUAUUUGAUUAAUUUGACUCCAGCUGCAUUAAAUGGUGACACUCAGUAUAAGAGAUGGUCGGGUAAAUUGAGUGAUUACUCUAUGCUUAGAACUUUUGGCUGUACUGCUUUUUCUCAUCAGAAUGAGGGAAUGCUGGAAUCUAGAGCUAGGAAGUGUGUCUUUCUAGAAUACCCCGAGGGUAUUAAGGGUUAUAGGUUAUGGGAUAGAAGCCAAAAAGGGGUUAGGAUUAUCAUAAGUAGAGAUGUCACGUUUAACGAGAAUGAGAUGCCGUGUAUUAAAGGGGAAACCGAAUCUGAGAGUGAAACUGAACUAGGUGAAGAGAGAGACUAAUUUAAGGUGGAGUUAGGAAAACUUAGUACAUCUACCCCUACUGCUUCUAAUGGGGUGGAGAUUCAAGUUCAGGAACCUGAAGUGGAAAAUAGUAACGAAGUAGUGAUAGAAGAACACCCUAAGGAAGAAAAUUCAUUAGCUAAUUAUAAUCUAGCUAGAGAUAGAGAGAGGAGACAGACGAGAGAACCUAGAAGGUUCGGUUUUGAAUCUGAAAUAACUUUUGUCCAUGCUAGUUAUGAAAAACUAGCUGAUAAAGAGCCAAAAACCUUUGAAGAAAUGAUAGGUAGUGAUCAAUCUAAGGAGUGGUUUAAGGCGAUGAAAGAAGAGAUGAGUUCUCUAGAAAAGAAUCAGACUUGGGAACUGGUACCUAGACCUAAAAACAAAUCGAUCGUCGAUUGCAAAUGAGUUUUUAAGAUUAAGGAAGGUACUAGUAGUUCGGAACCCUUAAAGUUUAAAGUUAGGUUAGUAGCUAAGGGUUACACAUAAAAGGAUGGCGUUGAUUAUAAUGAGAUUUUUUCACGAGUUAUUAAGUAUACCACUAUUAGGGCCAUGUUUGCUUUGGUUGCGCAUUUUAACUAGGAACUUGAACAACUUGAUGUAAAAAUUGCUUUUUUACAGGUGAGUUUGAUGAACAAAUAUUCAUGAAUCAACCAAAAGGUUUUAAGGAUAAAUCAAAACUUGAUUACGCGUGUUUUCUGAAAAGGUCCCCAUAUGGCUUAAAACAAUUACCUAGAUAGUAGUACAAGAUGUUUGAUUCCUUUGUACUCACCAUAGGGUUCUAAAGAAAUAAAUUUGAUCAUUGCCUAUAUUUUCAACAUAACGAGACUGAUAAUAAUUAUCUAUUUUUGUUGCUCUAUGUGGACGACAUGUUUUUGAUUGGUUAUUCUUCUAAGUGGAUAAACAGCAUAAAAGCAAAACUAAGUGGUGAAUUUGACAUGAAAGACCUAGGUAAGGCUAAGAGAAUUCUAGGUAUGGAAAUAAAAAGAGAUAGGUCAAUACUAAGGUACUUGAAAGGUACGGGUGACGUAGGUUUAAAGUUCAGUGUUAAUAAGAAAGGUGUGAAAUUGAAGGAUUUUGUAGAUGCUGAUUAUGCGGGAGAUAGGGAUGGUAGGAAAUCGACUUCCUCUUACAUGUUUACCUUAUCAAAUUCAUGUGUUAGUUGAAAAUCACAGUUACUACACAUUGUUGCACUAUCUACCACUGAAUCUGAGUAUAUUGCUACUAGUGAAGCAAUUAAAGAGGCCUUAUGGUUUAGAGGUUUACUUCAUGAACUAUGUGUCUUGAAUGAGUGUGGUUGUGUAUUUUGAUAGUCAGUCAUCCAUACAUUUAUGUAAGAACCCUGUUUUUCACGAACGCACUAAACACAUUGAUGUUAGACUACACUUUAUUAGAGAUAUAGUAUCUCAAGAGGUGGUGAAACUUGAAAAAGUUCACACACAAUACAAUCCUUUAGAUAUGAGCACGAAGGUGCUGCCACUGGUAAAAUUUAGAAGUUGCAAGGAUCUUCUAAACAUUGGUACAUGUAAAUGAUUUCCAAUUUUAUCGAUUUUCUAUUAGAGGUGUUACUAAUGGAAGGCGUUUUCUUUUUGCAGGUCCUUUGACACCAAGGUGGAGGUUGUUAGACAAAUUUGUUGUCAAACGACCUCCCUCGGGCUAUGAUGUUACUCGGUUUAAUUUUUCAGUCGGUUUAGCCAAAUGACUGAACGGGAAUCCAAUACCACAUUCAAGACGAUACAACCCAAAGGUUAAUUGGGCCACUCGAAGCAACCUAAAUACUUUAGUGUGCUCGUGGCCCAAUCCACUCCCUUGGAUGGCCUUUAAUUGAGAGAAAAGCUUGUGAGCCCACUUAACUAUCUUUUGGGCCUUUGACCUAACCCAUUAGUUAACCUACUUAAACUUACCUUAUUUGGGCUAUUGGUAAAAAGGUUAAAUGGGCUUCUUUUCUCUCUAAGUGAGAGAUGUCUCACCCCUCGCUCUCUCUUGGCCGGUUUUCUAUGAUUUCUCUUCUACUCUUCUGCC
rnacentral:lncRNA from 1 species